AGGAGGUGAAGUUCAGCCUGCAGGAGGCAUUUCCCCUUCAGAUGUGGGAGUUUUUUUUUUGUUUUGCUGAACCAACAAAAUACCUGUUAACUACAUUAAGGAAGUUCCUCUUCCUAAACCCCAAAAGACAUGAACACGCAUGUGCAGGAGAUGUAUAAAAGCAGAGUCUUCUCUCCUUAAUUCAACAAUCUCACCUCACAGCACAAGACAAACAUCUGAAACCAGUGAUUUAAGCAGCAACAAUGGAUAAAAAAGUUGGUGACACCGAGAGGGUUUCCGUUGUGAACAAUGCAGGGGAUGUUGGUGCUGAGAAUGAUAUUAGUGGACAAGUUGGAGACCAUUCGUCUGUGGGCAACACCAGUGACAUCCACUCAUUUGUGAAUACAGCAACAGGAAACAUUGGAUCAAAGAACGAGAUUCAAGGCAAUAUGGGAGCCAAUGCAAGUGUUGGCAACACUGGAACAGUUGAUGUUGGUGUUAACUCAGGAUCCAUUGGUGCAAAGAACAAGAUUAAUAUCAGCUGAGGAAACUGCCUUCCAACAGCAACAACUCUUCUAAAAAUCAUGAAUCAUUUGCUUUAUUAUGGCAGAUAAUUGAAAUGUCCUUUAACACAGUAUUAAAAAAAUGUUAAAUUCCAAAAAUAAAGUCCACAUACUGUAA